rnacentral:misc_RNA from 1 species
GAUGAAGACCGUAGCGAAAUGCGAUAAGUAAUGUGAAUUGCAGAAUUCAGUGAAUCAUCGAAUCUUUGAACGCACAUUGCGCCCCUUGGUAUUCCGGGGGGCAUGCCUGUUCGAGCGUCAUUUCAACCCUCAAGCUCUGCUUGGUAUUGGGCUCCGUCCUCCUCGGACGCGCCUCAAAGACCUCGGCGGUGGCGUCUUGCCUCAAGCGUAGUAGAAACACCUCGCUUUGGAGUGCAUGGCGUCGCCCGCCGGACGAAACCUUUUGUAUUUUCUCAAGGUUGACCUCGGAUCAGGUAGGGAUACCCGCUGAACUUAAGCAUAUCAAUAAGCGGAGGA